rnacentral:tRNA from 1 species
GAGGGGAUAGCUCAGUUGGUUUGAGUGUGGUGCUGAUAAUGCCAAGGUUCUGGGUUUGAUCCCCGUAUGGGACAGCUUCA